rnacentral:rRNA from 1 species
UACGGGGGGGGCAAGCGUUGUUCGGAAUUACUGGGCGUAAAGGGCUCGUAGGCGGCCAACUAAGUCAGACGUGAAAUCCCUCAGCUUAACUGGGGAACUGCGUCUGAUACUGGAUGGCUUGGAUUCGGGAGAGGAAUGCGGAAUUCCAGGUGUAGCGGUGAAAUGCGUAGAGAUGUGGAGGAACACCGAUGGCGAAGGCAGCCCCCUGGGCUAACACUGACGCUCAGGCACGAAAGCGUGGGGAGCAAACAGG